rnacentral:rRNA from 1 species
GACGAACGCUGGCGGCGUGCUUAACACAUGCAAGUCGAACGGAAAGGCCCUGCUUUUGUGGGGUGCUCGAGUGGCGAACGGGUGAGUAACACGUGAGUAACCUGCCCUUGACUUUGGGAUAACUUCAGGAAACUGGGACUAAUAUCGGAUAGGAGCUCCUGCUCCAUGUUGGGGGUUGGAAAGUUUCGGCGGUUGGGGAUGGACUCGCGGCUUAUCAGCUUGUUGGUGGGGUAGUGGCUUACCAAGGCUUUGACGGGUAGCCGGCCUGAGCGGGUGACCGGCCACAUUGGGACUGAGAGACGGCCCAGAGUCCUACAGGAGGCAGCAGUGGGGAAUAUUGCACAAUGGGCGGAAGCCUGAUGCAGCAACGCCGCGUGCGGGAAGACCGCCUUCGGGUUGUAAACCGAUUUCGCCUGUGACGAAGCGUGAGUGACGGUAAUGGGUAAAGAAGCACCGGCUAACUACGUG